UUUUUUUCCCCAAACACUCACAUUUGAAGAAGAACUUUAUUGUCAUUGCACACAAGUUACAACGAACUUUAGUUUGGCAGCAAUCCCCAGUAGCAGCUUGAGGUCAGGUGUUUAAAAAGGUUGAUUCUAAAACCAGGUUCAGCUCCGGGCAUGUUCACAGCCUUCACACUGCCCAUCAGACGUGCCAGCAGGUUGAGCUCCUCCUUUGCCAGAAGGUUGGGUGUGUCGUUUGGCUGCCACAGGAUAAGAUAAUGUUCCCCACUAAGAUGCAACAGGUGGCUAGGAAGAGGAUCAGCAGUGGUCAGACCCAAGCCUAUUGGCCAGGAUAAGGAUGACGCGUCAACACAGUACAACCAACCACAGAAUGUAAAUAAGUACUGCAGUGUUAGAGAGAAUAGAAACUAACUCUGUAUAACAAUGUCAGUGCUGAAAAUGCCUGCUGCCAUCAUCUCAUUAAACACCAACCCCAAAAAUGC